rnacentral:lncRNA from 1 species
GAAAGGAGCAGGAAUGAAAGGAGUUCCAGGAGUGCCUGGGUCAAUGAUAGGAGUUGGUGGGCUUCCUCCAAUGAUGGGUGUGCCUGGAUCAACAAUGGGUGAUGGUGGAGUCACAACAACCGGAGUUCUUGGUGGAGGAGAUGAGUAAUAUCCACCAGAAGGAGGGUGUGAUGGCGUUGGGUGCGAAGGAGUGGAAGGGUGUGAAGGCGUGGAAGGGUGGGAAGGUGGACUUCCACAGUUACAAGGAGGGGUGUGUGGAGUUGGCGUGUGUGAUGGAGUGUGUGGAGUUGGAGUGUGUGAUGGAGUGGAAGGAGUUGGAGUAUGUGAUGGAGGUGAAGGGUGAGAAGGAGUUGAAGGAGAAGGGUCGUAAGGUGGACUUCCACAGUUAGAAGAAGGAGGCGUGUGUGAUGGAGGAGUUCCAUGUGAGCCUGCAUGAGUUAAGUGAAAGAAGCAUAGUGAAGAUUCUUAUUACAUCAAGCGAAUAAAAAAAGUUACAAUGUUUGGUUUCUU